GGGAGAGGAGCCCCAGCCUUGGGAUUACCAGGUGUUUCUAUUCAGUGAUCAGCACUGAGCACAGAGGACUCAGCAUGGAGUUUGGGCUGAGCUGGGUUUUCCUUGUUGCUAUUUUAAAAGGUGUCCAGUGUGAGGUGCAGCUGGUGGAGUCUGGGGGAGGCUUGGUUCAGCCUGGGGGAUCCCUGAGACUCUCCUGUGCAGCCUCUGGAUUCACCUUCAGUAACUACUGGAUGAGCUGGGUCCGCCAGGCUCCAGGAAAGGGGUUGGAGUGGAUCUCAGGUAUUAGUACUGGUGGUGACACAUACUACCCAGAUUCCGUGAAGGGCCGAUUCACCAUCUCCAGAGACAACGCCAAGAACUCACUGUUUCUGCAGAUGAACAGCUUGAGAGCCGAGGACACGGCCAUGUAUUACUGUGCAAAAGACACACAGUGA